AUGGUGGGGGAAAAAGUUGAGAAGCCAGACACCAAGGAGAAGAAACGUGAAGCCAAGAAGGCUGAUGCUAGUGGCAAGGUUAAAACCUCAAGGCUAAAAAGCCAAAGAAAGGGAAGCCCCCCUGCAGCGGAAAUCCUGUCCUUAUCAGAGGAAUUGGCAGAUAUUCUCAAUCUGCUAUGUCAAAAAGGCCAGGUACAAGAGGAAGUACUCGGGUACUAAAUCCAGAAUUAAAAAGAAGAAAGUCCAGACUUGAAAAAGGAAAAGGUUCUUGCCAUUGCUACAAAACCAGUUGGUGGCAACAAGAAUGGUGAUACUUUUUGCAAAGUAAACCCUACAAAAUGCCUAGAUCCUUCCAAAGAUGUGCCUGGAAAGCUGCUGUUGAGCCACAGAAAAAACAAACAGAAACACUUCAGUCAGCACAGAGAAAACUGCAAACUAGCUUCUCUCCUGGGAUCAUUCUGCUUAUCCUCACUGGGCACCACAAAGGCAAGAGGGUGGUUUUACUGGAGCAGCUGAGGAGUGGCUUGUUAAUUGUGACUGGACCUCUGGUCCUCAUUCACAUUCUGUGGGAAACACACCAGAGGUCAUCACAAAAUUGAAAUCAGCAAUGUGAAAAUUCCAAAACAUCUUACCAAUGCUUGCUUAAGAAGAUGAUGCUAUGGAAGCCCAAAUACUGGGAAAGUGACAUCGUCAACACAGAAAGAGAGUAAUAGAAGAUUAUGGAGCAAUGCAAGGUUGAUCAGAAAGCUGUGGAUCGUAAAUGUUACCAAAAAUCAAAGCUAUUCCUUAGCUCCAGGGCUACCUGUAAUCUGUGUUUGCUCUGAUGAAUGGAGUUUAUCCUAGCAAAUAGGUGUUCUAA
rnacentral:lncRNA from 1 species